rnacentral:sRNA from 1 species
UCCUUUCCGGCAUAGGGGGAACCCACGAU